rnacentral:rRNA from 1 species
UUUCCGGUUGAUCCCGCCGGACCUGACUGCUAUCGGAUUGAUACUAAGCCAUGCGAGUCUUUGUAGUAAUACAAGGCAGACGGCUCAGUAACACGUAGUCAACCUACCCUAUGGACAAGAAUAAUCUCGGGAAACUGGGCAUAAUUCUUGAUAGAUCAUAAUGCCUGGAAUGGUUUAUGGUUAAAAUGAUUCGUCGCCAUAGGAUGGGACUGCGGCCUAUCAGCUUGUUGGUGAGGUAAUGGCCCACCAAGGCGAUUACAGGUACGGGCUCUGAGAGGAGAAGCCCGGAGAUGGGUACUGAGACACGGACCCAGGCCCUAUGGGGCGCAGCAGGCGAGAAAACUUUGCAAUGUGCGAAAGCACGACAAGGUUAAUCCGAGUGAUUUCUGCUAAAGAAAUCUUUUGCCAGUCAUAAAACCACUGGUGAAUAAGGGGUGGGCAAGUUCUGGUGUCAGCCGCCGCGGUAAAACCAGCACCUCAAGUGGUCAGGAUGAUUAUUGGGCCUAAAGCAUCCGUAGCCGGCUUUGUUAGUUUUCGGUUAAAUCCAUGUGCUCAACGCAUGGGCUGCCGAAAAUACUGCAUAGCUAGGGAGUGGGAGAGGUAGACGGUACUCAGUAGGAAGGGGUAAAAUCCUUUGAUCUAUUGAUGACCACCUGUGGCGAAGGCGGUCUACCAGAACACGUUCGACGGUGAGGGAUGAAAGCUGGGGGAGCAAACCGGAUUAGAUACCCGGGUAGUCCCAGCUGUAAACGAUGCAGACUCGAUGAUGCAUUGGCAUAAUAGCCAGUGCAGUGUCGCAGGGAAGCCGUUAAGUCUGCCGCCUGGGAAGUACGUACGCAAGUAUGAAACUUAAAGGAAUUGGCGGGGGAGCACCACAAGGGGUGAAGCCUGCGGUUCAAUUGGAUUCAACGCCGGGA